GUACUCGCUUCAGCGGUACAUAUACUAAAAUUGGAACGAUACAGAUAAGAUUAGGAUAGCCCCUGCACGGGGAUAACGGCCGUCGCGGUAACUCACCGUGUU